CGUGGAUGGUAAUCGCAGACCCAGGUUUCGGACCAUCUUGGAAUAUCUUCAAAACUGGCGUAGCCACUCGGCCUCCUCAGCCGCCUUAUCUAGAGCAAUAAAAUCUAAUUCCACGCUGAACGUGCAUGCACGGUCUAUUUAGAAGAUUUCUAAGCACCUCCUGCACCACCAAGCAUGAAGACAUAUCACUCGUGGAUUUCGAGUCUUAAUCUGAUAUCCAGUUUACAUCGCAAUACCAUUCUAGACGUUGGAAAUCUGGUGUAAUGCAGUCCAAAAAUCACGAAGUAUACUUAAAUAGAUAGCAAAGUUACUAUCGACUUUCAGUGAUCACUUCCUGAUUACUUUUAUACCUGCUUCAGUCUGCUCACUGAUAGGCUAUAUCGGGUCUUGAUACAACUCAUCAAAGUACAUUAAACUUUCAAUAAUACGAGAAUACUCAAAUUGGAUUCACCUUCUCCCCCAUUCUUGGCUAAGUGGAGAGUUAACAUCUAUAGGAGUCCUUGCCACAUUCGUAUCAGACGUAUUGAAUUUGUUAAAGAUUAUCAAUUAUAGUGUGUCUGAGAAAGUGGCAAAUCCGUCAGUGUUCUGGUAAUCUUACAACCAGAAUCAAUUCUGCUAGACCAAUAUCCUUCAUAUCAAAUUCGAAUUUAAUAGGUAUUUGGUAGAUUUUGAUUAACUUUAUCGUUACUACCAACAAUGAUCAUGUAUCAAUGUAAAGACACAAAUAACAUACCCUUCGUUUGAUGUCCUUGAAAUAUACACAUUAUCACAUUCGUGAUUUGAGCCACUAGACAAUACAAACAUUUUGUCAAACUUAUCUGCCAUUGUUUCGGAUGCUUGCUUGAGGACCCAUAAAUGAUCUUACAGGUCUCGACUUUUCCCCCCCAUUCUUUUCCGAUGGGAAAAACCUCAGAUUGUUUCAGUAGAUUUCUUCAUCUAAAUCUCCAUCCAGGAAGGAAAGCUGUUUUAACAUCCAUCUGAUGUAUCUUCAAAAUUUCGCCAAAAGAUGCGGCGAUAGCAAUUAUCAUCAUAAUAGAUGUAAUUCUCGAGACUGGUGAAUAAGUAUCAAAGUGCUCUAGACCUUCUUUUGUCUAUAUCCUUGAUAACAAGUUAGCUUUGUUAAUUAUCUAUUGAUCCAUCUGCUUUCAUCUUUCUCUUGAAGAUCCAUUUGUAGCCCAAUGGCUUACUGCCAUGGCGGUAAUUCACCAGUUCCCACGUUGAUUUUGAGAAUGGAUCAAUCUCACUCUUACUAGCCUUUCCCACAAUGGACCAUUCAGGGACAACUCACUGCUUCCUUGUAUGUUUGAGGCUCCACUUUCUAAAAUAUCGUUAGAAGUCUGGACCAAAAGAUGUUGAAAUUCUAGCUUCUUUGUACGUUCUCCCCCCCCCCCAAUUUCAUUCAAAUUAUCGUUUGGUCUUGGCAGCUUGUCAUUAGCAGGAUGCAGAGUCCGUUUAACUGAACUGACUCACCAAUGGAUCUAUAUGGAAAUAUGGUAAACAGAAAGUGUUGAUCGGCAAUCAAUUUUUUUUUGUUUCAUCUUUCUCUAUGUAUAGCUCUGACAAAGAGUACCAAACUUUCUGUUUACAUGUAAGAUCUAUCGAACAAAAAUUAUACUUCUGUGAAAUUUGAUUGCGAUCACAAAAAACGAAUCUUUCUUAAGAUUGUUGGGAAAAAAAUUGAUUAGGCCAAAUAGAAAUUUCAAAGAAUUAAUUUUCAUAAUCAAAUAAAAUUACCGAAAUUAAAAUUACAGAAACUGAAUAUAAGAGAUACAAACAGAGUAAGCCGAGCCUGCAAGCGCAGGCUCCUUAAGAAAGAUCGCCGCCUACCGAGGUGGUGUAGGGUGCUGUCGACGUCUUCCUCCCAGGAUUAAAACGGCUAGACCACUAUAACUUUGGAAACACUACAAAGCAGCCUCUUGGCGAACUAAACUGUAUCUGUCUCUCUCUCUCAAAGAACUCAAAUGUAUGGUGUUGUGUUUAUUUAUGUUGUUUGGGUUGUGGUGUGUUUUCUUCAGUGCCUAAACCUCAGCAUUUAUAGCCAAACAACGCUCUAUUUAAAUCAUUAUAAUUCUAGUGGGCAUUAACCCUCAUCAUGAGGGUGCUGUGGAUUCCACCAUGACAGCCUUUAGAGGCUGGUCAUGGCCCAGAUAAAGCAGGACUUAGGGCUCUGUAAAGAAGAUUGCAAUAAUAAAUCCUUUAGGAGUUGUUAAAACCACUCCUCUUUAUGUUUCAUUCACAAAAAUUCUAACAUUUUAUUCUAAGGAAUUUACAUUUAAAUCUUGGAAAGACAUGGGAAAUGUUCUGGCUGAGCAUUGUUCCUGCUGUUGGUUGAACUCCAGAUGCAUGUGGGUGUUGUUUUGUCUCUUGAAUCAUUGAAGCUGGUAUCAUAUAAAUUUCUUGUUUUAUGGGGCUCAGUUUUCUCUGGCUUUUGUUUGCCCCAAGCAUAGUUAUCAGAAUCGAACCGAAUCGGACGGUUUAAACGAAAACCGGGCACUGAAUC
rnacentral:lncRNA from 1 species